rnacentral:rRNA from 1 species
GUGAACGCUGGCGGUAGGCCUCACACCUGCCAGUCGAACGGCAGCACCGUAAGAGCUUGCUCUUCCGGGUGGCGAGUGGCGGACGGGUGAGGAAUACAUCGGAAUCUACUUUUUCGUGGGGGAUAACGUAGGGAAACUUACGCUAAUACCGCAUACGACCUACGGGUGAAAGCAGGGGAUCUUCGGACCUUGCGCGAUUGAAUGAGCCGAUGUCGGAUUAGCUAGUUGGCGGGGUAAAGGCCCACCAAGGCGACGAUCCGUAGCUGGUCUGAGAGGAUGAUCAGCCACACUGGAACUGAGACACGGUCCAGACUCCUACGGGAGGCAGCAGUGGGGAAUAUUGGACAAUGGGCGCAAGCCUGAUCCAGCCAUACCGCGUGGGUGAAGAAGGCCUUCGGGUUGUAAAGCCCUUUUGUUGGGAAAGAAAAGCAGCAGGUUAAUACCCCGCUGUUCUGACGGUACCCAAAGAAUAAGCACCGGCUAACUUCGUG